GGUCGAGUGGUGUAGUGGUAAUCACUCUUGUCUUACACACAAGCGGUCGUCGGUUCGAUCCCGACCUCGAUCA
rfam:Dichomitus squalens LYAD-421 SS1 unplaced genomic scaffold DICSQscaffold_72, whole genome shotgun sequence.